rnacentral:lncRNA from 1 species
GUUUUUCAGGACAAUCUGAGCUGCCUGCGCAAAUCUUCAGAUCUAGGGUUUCUUGUUUUGGGCAGUGCUUGGAGAUAACAGAUGGAGGGAGGAAGAAGCCUCACAUUAAAGAGAACACCACUGACCACGUGACAGAGAAACAGCCAGGUUGCUACUAGGUUUCCCCACUGCUGUGAUGUCUGUAUCCACCACUGUCUCCAGAGACGAAAUAUGAACUUGUGUUUUCUGAGUCCAGUGAAGAACUGAGGAAGAUGGAUGACAUUGUGCUUCUUCCUUCUCUUGGGAUUUUUACUUACCUAAAUAGGUAGGUCAGAUUCUUGGCCUAUUUCAUGUGAUACCAGGUUGACUGAUUUGCUCAAUUC